rnacentral:rRNA from 1 species
GAACGAGAAAGUGGAGCAAUCCAUGAGUAAAGUGGCGACCGGGUGAGUAACACGUGACCAAUCUACCCUUGAGUGGGGGAUAACCUCGGGAAACCGAGGCUAAUACCGCAUAAUAUCUUCGUGCAAACGAUGAUCAAAGGAGUAAUCCGCUUUUGGAGGGGGUCGCGGCUGAUUAGCUAGUUGGUAGGGUAAUGGCCUACCAAGGCGAAGAUCGGUAUCCGGCCUGAGAGGGCGCACGGACACACUGGAACUGAAACACGGUCCAGACUCCUACGGGAGGCAGCAGUGGGGAAUUUUGCGCAAUGGGGGAAACCCUGACGCAGCAACGCCGCGUGGAGGAUGAAGCCCCUUGGGGUGUAAACUCCUUUCGACCGGGAAAAUAAUGAUGGUACCGGUGGAAGAAGCACCGGCUAACUCUGUGCCAGCAGCCGCGGUAAUACAGAGGGUGCGAGCGUUGUUCGGAAUUAUUGGGCGUAAAGGGCGCGUAGGCGGUGUUGUAAGUCACCUGUGAAACCUCUAGGCUUAACCUAGAGCCUGCAGGCGAAACUGCAAUGCUGGAGGGUGGGAGAGGUGCGUGGAAUUCCCGGUGUAGCGGUGAAA